UGUCCAGGGGCGGGAAUCGAACCCACAACGUUCCGCUUACCGGGCAGAUGCCAUGUCCACUAGGCUACCCUGGG